AUGUGUUAAACGACCAUUGUAAAAAAUACAAUAGGUGUUAAGAGGUAUUAAAUAAGGCACGGGUAGUAUAUAACGGAUGCGAAGUAGGAAGAAAGAAAAUUCGGCUUCAACGUGAAAGGGCAAACUGGAUAAUGGAGGACAACAUUACCCAGUAAACAGGAUAAAUAAAAUAAACGAUUCAGGGAGGCAAUUAGGAAUUGGAACAUUCACAUAAAACCAUAAAAAGAAACUCAAUUUACCAGCGUUCUGAUGUCAACAUUCUAUCAUCAGAAAAUACAUUACGAUGGGGGACAGAUAUGAUUCUGCUUGCCCUCGCAGACGUGCGAGUGGUUAGCAGAGCUAUAGAGAAUAUCUCAGCGUAAGAAAAUAGCUCCCUGUUUUAGAUGUGGAGCUAAUUGGUAUGGGAAGAAUGAGUGUAAGAUGAUGCUGGGACUUAGUGCGGUAGCAGAGAAUGCCGCUAUACAGGAGUUUGCAUCUUUUUCAAAAGAGCAACAACUAAUCGUUUUUGAGGUUAGUAAGAAUGGAAUAUUCACCAAGCGGUGUAUAGUCUCUGAUCGAUCAAUAAGUGGUUCAUAGAGAGUACAGUUUAUAUGUGAUAAAAUACGUACUAGAUCACGUUUUACCUAACCUCUAGUAAAGUACCGAUGGGAUUUACUAAUAGUCCCACGUGGUAUCAUUUUGCAUUGAAACAAUAGUUUCAGUAGUGAUAAAAUACGUGGAGAAUUUGUUAUUAGCGUCAAAAGACGGAAAAUAAACGUAUAUGAGAAAACACCACCUAAGUAAAAGUAAUUGGAGAAAAGCAAAAUGUAAUAUAUUGGUGUUUCAAUUUCUAAGGGUAAGAUACAGAUAACCAACCAGGAAGAAACUAUGCGUUCUGUGCAUGGCUAAACUUUUCUCGCAUGUUCAGAAAAACGUAAGGGGUUUUCAGUUUUGUUAGACAUUCUAUACCGUCAUUCUCUGAAACUGCUAAGACGCUUAUAGAAUGAAAUCAAUAUCUAAGCAAUACUAUUGGCUUGCUGAUUAAAAGGUAACAUUGUGAAUAUUAACGAAAUGUACAUUUCUUUUCCAGAAAAAAGGGGUUUCAUUUUCUCUGGUCAAAAUGUCAUUGGAGACUGCGGUACUGAGGAAAGCAGUUAGAGAUAUUCGGCCACUUUAAAAGUAAAAGUAUCUGGAUAAGGCUAUAACUGGAGUUCCGGAUAAGUGAGGCCAGUUCCUGUGUGUUCUUGACCUAUGGUACACUAGUAGGUAUACCUUAUACCGUGAAUGAAUAUGCAAUAGUGGAUUUAUUUUGGAAGGGUUUUUUUCAAUUCAGUUUCAAAUUGGGUAUGCAGAACGAUGGAAAUGUUUUUGAAAAUGUAUUUAAGUUGUUUCUAAUGAAAAGGGAGUGGAAACAUUUUUAAUGGUGUCAAAUGCCCUGAAUCCUAAGAAUUUACCGUGAAGACUGAUCAACUUCACUAGAAAUUGUUGGAACAGGUGGGAUUUAAUUAUAAAAUGAUUGAGAAACACCAGUCUCUAUUCAAAAAGUGUACAAUCACUUUGAAAUUCUAUUAUUUCCUUGGGAAAAUGAUGAAUAGUUGUAAUCUUAAAUUGACUAGUUACUCAAAUAGGUUUAUUUUUUGAUUAAACACGGGUUCAUAGGAGAAAUUAUCAGUUCCCUGGGGUUAUGGUCUUUGGGUAAAUACAAAUGUGCUUUGUUCAUUCUGCAUAUAAAAGGGAAAUAUAUGUUAACAAGGGAUAACAGUUACUCCAAAUGGUUUAUUGGAGUGGGGGUCUCUGCGAGGGUUAUGUUGAUAACUACAUAAUCUGUAACUCGUCUGAGAGAUCGCCAGUAGAAUAAGGUGACGUCAGAAUGCUUUAAUGCAUUGGAGAGAUUAUCACCACAACAAGUGUGUGUGAAACUCAAACCUACCCUAUGGCUGAAUAGUGAGGGACAACUGUGUCUGAUGACCUGUGAACUGUGUCUAAAAUAGACAUGCUGGAAUGAUAUGUGCUGGGAGAAGAAAGACUAAAGGGGAUUGGGGUAAUGACCUUUUAUUACCAGGCCACUCAUGACAGAAACAGAGACAAUGGGGCGCAUUGGAAAAUAGAUAUUACUGGUACUAAAAGUUUUUAGUAUAAUGUUAAUGAUGUGUAUUGAAUUGAGAAGGUCGCAUUUGAGUUAAAGUAAGCACUAAGGACUGUUAUCCUGAAUAUUGGGUUGGACAAUUUAUAAACAACAUUUAGUUAUGAUUUGGAUAUAGGACUGUUUAAAUUUAGUAGGCCUAGGGAAGCUCUGGAAACUAAUCCUGAGACAGGGUGAUUGACAGAAUUUACAGAAUAUUAGAUUAAAGGUUUUUGUUUCUUUUGUUUUACAAAGUCAUUGUAAUUGUAAUUAUAUAAGUAAUUGAAUAAAAGGUAUAGUCUGUUGUGCGAUAACACCCAAGGAUGAAGAAGAAAGAGACCAACAUAACAUGGGCAUAGAACAAAACGGAUGGACGUUUUCCCCAGGUUUAAUUACAUUACAAAUAGUGGUAAUUUAUUGCAAAUAUGCAGUUAUUAUAAUUUAGUUACUAUUUUUUCUUGUUUGGUCAAUUUAUUUUUGUUUUGAGGAAAAUAAGUGUGUAUAUUGUUCCUGAGGAGGGACUGAUAUAAAUUGACUAAAAAUGAUUUGAGAAUGUUUAAGUAUGUAUCAAACUAUGGAAGGAAAUUAGGAGUAGUGACUUAUGUGUUAUGGGUUAGAAAAACUGUAACUACAUUGGGGGCUCAUACAUGAAGGUUAUGGUAGCGGAGGGGUGUUAUUUCUAGAAACAAUGUAUAUUAAUAGACGAGAUAACUCACAGAAAAGGAAGGACAGUUGGUCUUGUAAAAAUAUAGGGAUAUAAAAUAUAGGGACAAUUCUAAAAGUAAAUAGAACAUUACACAUACCUAGAUUAUGGUAAAAGUAAUAAGUAGUGGCAUUUUGAACACUAGAGCAAAAGUUUAAGAAACUUAUGAUUUAGUUUUGUUAGGAUUGGAUAUUCUUCCAACUGGAAGACACUUGACUGAUUACAUGUUAUUCUUACAGCAAUUGCUGUAGGGACCAUAAUUUGGCUAUCAUUAUGAAUAUUUUUGUGGCAGGAGGCCAGGUAUUUGAGACAGAAUGUUUACAUAGGGCUGUUAUUUAAAAAUUAAGAUUUAGUGAUCUUGCUAUAAGAAGAAAGGAAAUAACCCAUGUGUUAGUGUGUAUGUCCUCAGGAAAAAAACAGCACAUAAGAGGCCAGAUGGAAGGGCAUGGGCUGAAUUCUGAAGACUGAGUGUACAUCAAGAUACACCAGUUGAAAUAGAGCAAGAAAGGAAGAGGAGAGAAGGACCCUACCGGGUGGCUGUAGCAACAAACACGGCCGUCCAAGUGAAAGGAAGCAAGAUGUGGUACCAUCUGAAUCACUGCACCCGAGUCGCAACAGAAAGAAGGACACAACCAUAUAGAGAUGAGUACACAGAGGAUGCUAAUUCACCAGGAGGGAGCCCGGAGGGAGCAGGAACAGCGAAAGCAAUCGAGACGCCAGGGAGGAGCCAAGAGAACAGCAGACCAAGUGAAAGCCAAAAUACGACAGGUGCAUUGCCUAAUGCACCCAGAAGAAGACGAAGGAGAGACAACACUGGAGAAAGAACCUGUGAACAACCAGAAUUCACUCCUGUGGGGACAGAGAGUCCAGGGAUGGGAGGGAGUAACACGCCUGCUACUCUUGAUGACAUACCUGUUGUGGCAGACCUCUUUGACAGAAGCCCUCCACAGUGGGACCCCGAAGUACCACCUGCAGAAUGGGAACAUCUCUUCCCUAAACUUGACAUCCUUCCAGAUGGAAGUCCAGUCAGGCCUGAGGAGGGAGUCUCAGGGGAGGAAAGAGGAGGAGAGGCCUCACAAGGAACAGAAGGAGACCCCACAAAGAGGAGGAAAAGUUCUGCAAGCUGAAAAAAUGGGUAUUUCCCCACAAUUGACUUUUCAGCUCUUAAAUGGUCUCCUUAACAGACACUUGAAGUUAGAACCACGGAAAAACAAUGACAUUGACAUAACAGAAGUAACAGUGAACGCUAGUAUAGAAACAACAGACUCACGCACAAUCAAGAUGUAGGGUGGAAACAGGAAGAGAGGAACCAGCCAAACAAUUUAAAAAGACUGACAAGGUUAGAAUCUCUGUUCCACAACAAACACAUAACUGAAACAGGAGAACAGAAGACAAUCUCAAUCAAAAGGAUCAAACCCUUACCGGAGAUUGCACUCUGUGGAUGGACACAUCAUCAAACGAAGGGAGAAGUCAUUUGGGACCCAAAAGGAUGUGACCUGACGUUAACCAAAGAAGUAGACGAGUGGGUGCUCAUCAUGAACAAGAUUGAACCACUGGAAGGUCGUAUGCAGAAAAUCGUGCACGAGCGGGUCUGGUCCCGUUAUUUAAGACCUGGCCACUGAAUUGAGGUUAAAGACCAGGCCGGUGUACACCCCAGACCGACAGGGAUGGUGACUAGAUCCAACGAACAUUGCUUUUCCCAGUCGGCGACAAGG